AUGGAAUAUUAUGAACAAACACAUGAUGAAAAUCCCGAGGAGGAUGACGAGGAAACCCUUGGUAGGGGCAAGAGACAAAGGACUGCAAAGACCUUUGGUGAUGAUUUCUUCGUGUACCUCGUGGAUGAUACUCCCACUUCUAUUUCAGAAGCGUAUGCCUCUCCAGAAGCUGACUACUGGAAGGAUGCGGUCCGUAGCGAGAUGGAUUCCAUCAUGGCUAACGGGACAUGGGAGAUCACUGACCGUCCCUAUGGUUGCAAACCACUGGGAUGUAAGUGGGUGUUCAAAAAGAAGCUUAGGCCCGAUGGUACGAUUGAAAAGUACAAGGCUAGGCUUGUGGCCAAGGGCUAUGACCAGCAAGAAGAGGAAGAUUUCUUUGAUACUUAUUCACCUGUGGCUAGACUGACCACCAUUCGAGUAUUACUCUCGUUGGCGGCCUCACAUGGUCUUCUCGUCCAUCAGAUGGAUGUUAAGACGGCUUUUCUAAAUGGAGAGCUAAAGGAGGAAAUCUACAUGCAACAGCCUGAUGGCUUUGUGAUGGAUGGUCAGGAAAGAAAGGUGUGUAGGUUGAUAAAAUCUUUAUAUGGCCUGAAACAAGCACCUAAGCAAUGGCAUGAUAAGUUUAAUACAACUCUGACAUCUGUUGGUUUUGUUGUUAAUGAGGCUGACAAAUGUGUAUACUAUCGCCAUGGUGGGGGCGAAGGAGUUAUACUGUGCUUGUAUGUUGAUGACAUACUGAUAUUCGGAACAAACCUCAAAGUCAUUGAGGAGGUCAAAUCGUUUCUAUCUCAGAACUUUGAGAUGAAAGACCUUGGUGUGGCUGAUGUUAUCUUGAACAUCAAGCUACUGAGAGAUAAUGAGGGUGGGAUCACACUUCUGCAAUCCCAUUAUGUUGAGAAGGUGUUGAGUCGUUUUGGAUAUUCGGACUGCACACCAUCUCAAACACCAUAUGAUCCUAGCGUAUUGAUUCGAAAGUCCAAAGGCAUGGCUAAAGAUCAAUUGAGAUACUCUCAAAUCAUUGGUUCACUGAUGUACCUAGCGAGCGCAACGAGGCCUGACAUCGCGUUUUGCUGUGAGCAAACUGAGCCGGUUUGUUUCCAAACCGGGUGA
rnacentral:rRNA from 1 species